rfam:Callithrix jacchus chromosome 5, whole genome shotgun sequence
GCUGGGCGUGGUGGUGCGCGCCUAUAAUCCCAGCUACUUGGGAGGCUGAGGCAGGAGAAUCGCUUGAACCUGGGAGGUGGAGGUUGCAGCGAGCUGAGAUUGCACCACUGCACUCCAGCCUGGGUGACAAAGUGAGAUUCUGUCUCAA